UGCGGCAGUCUAAUACAUGCAAGUCGAACGGGAUCUAUUGUGUAGCUUGCUACACUUUAGUGAGAGUGGCGCACGGGUGCGUAACGCGUGAGCAACCUACCCAUAUCAGGGGGAUAGCCCGGCGAAAGUCGGAUUAACACCGCAUAACAAUGCAGUACCGCAUGGUACCGUAUUUAAAUAUUUAUAGGAUAUGGAUGGGCUCGCGUGACAUUAGCUAGUUGGUAAGGUAACGGCUUACCAAGGCUAUGAUGUCUAGGGGCUCUGAGAGGAGAAUCCCCCACACUGGUACUGAGACACGGACCAGACUCCUACGGGAGGCAGCAGUAAGGAAUAUUGGUCAAUGGACGGAAGUCUGAACCAGCCAUGCCGCGUGCAGGACGACUGCCCUAUGGGUUGUAAACUGCUUUUAUACGGGAACAAACCCCUAUACGUGUAUAGGGCUGAGUGUACUGUAGGAAUAAGGAUCGGCUAACUCCGUGCCAGCAGCCGCGGUAAUACGGAGGAUCCGAGCGUUAUCCGGAUUUAUUGGGUUUAAAGGGUGCGUAGGCGGCUUCAUAAGUCAGGGGUGAAAUUCGGCAGCUCAACUGUCGGCGUGCCUUUGAUACUGUGGGGCUUGAAUUUGGUCGAAGGAGGCGGAAUGGGACAAGUAGCGGUGAAAUGCAUAGAUAUGUCCCGGAACCCCAAUUGCGAAGGCAGCUUUCUAGGCCAACAUUGACGCUGAUGCACGAAAGCGUGGGGAUCGAACAGGAUUAGAUACCCUGGUAGUCCACGCCCUAAACGAUGGUGACUCGAUGUCGGCGAUAUACAGUCGGUGUCCCAGCGAAAGCGUUAAGUCACCCACCUGGGGAGUACGACCGCAAGGUUGAAACUCAAAGGAAUUGACGGGGGCCCGCACAAGCGGAGGAGCAUGUGGUUUAAUUCGAUGAUACGCGAGGAACCUUACCCGGGCUUGAAAGUUAGCGACGGUACCAGAGACGGUACUUCCCUUCGGGGCGCGAAACUAGGUGCUGCAUGGCUGUCGUCAGCUCGUGCCGUGAGG
rnacentral:rRNA from 1 species